CCUACGGGUGGCAGCAGUGAGGAAUAUUGGUCAAUGGACGAGAGUCUGAACCAGCCAAGUAGCGUGAAGGAUGACUGCCCUAUGGGUUGUAAACUUCUUUUAUAAAGGAAUAAAACGAGGCACGUGUGCCUUUUUGCAUGUACUUUAUGAAUAAGGAUCGGCUAACUCCGUGCCAGCAGCCGCGGUAAUACGGAGGAUACGAGCGUUAUCCGGAUUUAUUGGGUUUAAAGGGAGCGUAGAUGGGUUGUUAAGUCAGUUGUGAAAGGUUGCGGCUCAACCGUAAAAUUGCAAUUGAUACUGGCAGUCUUGAGUACAGUUGAGGUAGGCGGAAUUCGUGGGGUAGCGGUGAAAUGCUUAGAUAUCACGAAGAACUCCGAUUGCGAAGGCAGCUUACUAAACUGCCACUGACAUUGAUGCUCGAAAGUGUGGGUAUCAAACAGGAUUAGAUACCCGUGUAGUC
rnacentral:rRNA from 1 species